GCCUCGGUGUGGACCUGGGCGACGCUCGCACCGGCCUCGCCGUCGGGUGGGGCAUCACCCUCCCUCGUCCCCUCACUGUACGCACCACCUCGCUCUCACUUCAACUGCUCAGAGUCAAAAGCCCCACUAAAUUGAGGGGGGCUGGAAUGGUGCCAGGUUCUGAAGCUGCGCGGGCAGAAGCUGGUGCUGACGCUGCUCGACGUGGCCCGGCAGCAGGAGGCGGACGAGCUCAUCAUCGGGCUUCCCGUGUCGGCCGAUGGGAGGGAGACGCCGCAGUCUAACAAGGUGCGGGGCGUCGUCGGGAGGCUCGCCGUCCAAGCGGCGGAGAGGUUCGUUGCUUGCGUGCACUUUCCAAACUUUAGUGGAUGGUGUUUCUACUCGCUAGUGCGCGUGUUGCAGCACCGUCAGUAGACAAAUUUCGCAGUGUUCUGACUUCUGAACUGCGAGUUCUUUGUUUGCUUAAAUGUGUGGUCUAGUGAUUGUUGAGUGGCUCAGUGGAUUUGCCUUCACUGCGCAGGGGAUUGAGGGUAUAUUUGCAGGAUGAACAUGGAACUUCGAUAGACGCCCUUGAUUACAUGAUCUCAAGGUGAGUCUUAUUCUUUUGCAAAUGGCAAAUUGGCGAUAAUUAGACAGUUUGACAUGCUAUGUUUUUAAAGCGGUAAGGCGAGGCGACGCGAUCCACCACCGCCUUAUCGCCUAGGCGACGCCUAGGUGGGCUAAGGCGAGACCUUAAGCAAGGCGAGCCGCCACCGCCUUGUCGCCUAGGCGACGCCUUGAAAACAGAGUUGACAUGUCGCUGUUGCUGCAACAUCUAGCUGAUAUUGAUAUGUUAAUUUGAGAAUCUUGAUAUUGCUGCAAGGCCCCUGAUUUUUCAAAACUGAUCAUUAAUACCUAGUAUUCCUUCUUCAUUCAACAAAUGACCAAUAUAGAAUCUUGAGAUUAGAGAAUACAACAUUUUCUACUGCACAUUCCUAACUCUCGGAUGAUAUUGAUGUGUUAAUUUGGGAAUCUUGUCUGAGUAUGGACCUCAUCUUCCAGGGGUGUCAAAAAAUCUGCCCGUGAUGUCAAAUCUGAUGCGUAUGCUGCAGUGGUACUGUGUAUUAUAUGUUUCUACGAAUUUACACAUGACCUGUUGCUUCUGGCUAAUUUUAAAAAAUGAUUACUCUCGCUGUAGAUGUUAUUGAAGAGAUAUUUUACGUCAUCAGGUCAAGGGGCUAUGAUUGUCCUUCCCAGGCAACCAGAAUUGCAGGAAAAGUUAAUAGCUCAGUCUAGGCGAGAUGCUGAAAUUUAGGAAGGCAGGUCUUGUAUUUUAUCCAACUGUAGAAAAUAUAUCCAAUAUAUUUACAAGAAACACUUGUUUCCAUGUCAUCUCGGUGACUUAUAUUUUGGUUUACCUUGCACAAUCAAAGGGAAUUGGCAGCAACUUCCAUUUCUAUACCAUGUCAAUGUGAUCCAAGUUGCAAAUUGUGUAUGAAGUAUGGACCCAAAACAAAAACACAAAUUGAGUAUGAUCAUUGCUGUUCCUUACUUUUUUCUUAUUUUGUCGACUACUCUAGAGCAUCUAGGAAACAGUAAGUUGAGAAAGGAUAUAGUGAAACUUAACUAGUCUUUUUCACAAAGGGAGUUACUGUUCUCGAGUAAGUACAGUCCGGAGGAUUUACAUAUAGGCAAGCGUACCAGUAUAUAGUUGAUUUAUGAUAGUAUAGAUGUAUGGACCACACCAACCUCUCUUUCUAGCCGUAACCGAUUAGGAAAAGAAAUAUCAUGGCAUGUCAAAGCCAUAAAUCUAUCGGUAAAGGGAGGCAUAUACCGUUGGGUACGGCACCAUGUGUUUCUGAUUUGGAAGGUAGGUACAACUGACCUAGUACAGCAGAAAUUGCUCUUCAUUACAGGUUAUUAACAUCUUAAGAUUCUGAUCAUUCCAUGCACACUUUUAACUAAAUUCAGAAAUCUAAACAGUUCUGUGCUUUAAUUAGCUAUAUUCAGGAAGUUCCUUUUGCUAUCUUUUUUUUUCUGGGUUUCCUACCUAGCCUUUUUCUUUCAAAAACAUUUGUUUAUGAUUUAUAGCUCAGUCAUGCAAAUUUGUGAUACAGUGGUAGCCUGCCACUUUAUGAGAUCGCGUAUUUAGACAGUUUCCAGCACAGAGACUACAAAAAAUAUGUUCAGUCAUAAUUCGGAUCAUCCAAGUUGGCAAGACACAAAGGCUAUGUUUGUACAUAACUAUCAACACAGCAGAAUGCCUGAGCGAAACCAUCAGAAUGAAUCAAGAAUUAGUCGAUCCGGAUCAGUUCUCCAUGUGUUGAUGAAGCAUCUCAAAUCUGCGCAUAAAAGAAUCAGUACAGCUUGCUGAAUUCAGUAUCCUGUGUCGG